rnacentral:rRNA from 1 species
CUACGGGUUGCUGCAGUGGGGAAUAUUGGACAAUGGGCGAAAGCCUGAUCCAGCCAUGCCGCGUGUGUGAAGAAGGUCUUCGGAUUGUAAAGCACUUUCAGUUGGGAGGAAGGGCAGUAAGCGAAUACCUUGCUGUUUUGACGUUACCAACAGAAUAAGCACCGGCUAAGGCUGUGCCAGCAGCCGCGGUAAUACAGAGGGUGCAAGCGUUAAUCGGAAUUACUGGGCGUAAAGCGCGCGUAGGUGGUUUGUUAAGUUGGAUGUGAAAGCCCCGGGCUCAACCUGGGAACUGCAUCCGAAACUGGCAAGCUAGAGUACAGUAGAGGGUGGUGGAAUUGCCUGUGUAGCGGUGAAAUGCGUAGAUAUAGGGAGGAACACCAGUGGCGAAGGCGACCACCUAGACUGAUACUGACACUGAGGUGCGAAAGCGUGGGGAGCAAACAGGAUUAGAUACCCCCGUAGUC